AGAUAAAAAUAAAAAAUCAGUCAGAAGAGUAACACGACAAAAAAACCCUAAAGAACAGAAGAAAUGGGUCUGAGUGCUCGGCUGGGGUUUGGGGGCAAACUGAAAAACUGGACUGCAUGGGUGAUCAAUAGGCUUCCUGAUGGCGAUCGGGGAGAUCUCAAUCAACCAAAACAGAGGCUUCCUUCAAUUUUUCGUUGGGUUUGCUCUAUCACUGGAGAACCGAUCUGGUAUUGAGAGUUUGGCUUCACUUCAGUCCCUCCCUUCAGACAAGGAUAAAGAUAUGAAGGCUUGAAGGGUUGUGACGGGGCGUUGUUGUUGGUCGACGACGAAGCGGUUGGCAGUGUUGAUCAUGGCGUCGAUUACGAUACACCCUACACCAUACGCUCAUGACUCUCCUGGGGUUUAAAGAUUGCUCCUCCUUUUUGGGUUUUUGAUUAACAGCAAAAAGGUGGGUACUUGCUCUGUUCUUGUGCUUUAAUGGCUUUCGAAUCAAGUGGGCUUUGGAUUGUCUGGUUUGCGGCUUAUGGCAAUGUUGAGUUGUGAGUGAGAAAGAGAGAAGUGUUUGGUGAAUUGUAAUUGGGUUGGAGUUUUUUGUCUCUUUUUGUCUUUGUUUUUCGUCUUGAAUUGAAAUAGGGAGGGAGGCAAAGAUAUGCCUCGAUUCAAUUAGCUGCAGUUUUGCCUAUAACAUUUACCAAACAUGGCUUCAGUAAUUGCCACCAAAUCUUGCCUCGAUUCAAUUAGCCAGGUACGUCCCUUUCUCGAUGAGCUUUCAAUUCAGUUCAAUGAUGUUUAUGUUCUGUAUUUCAAUACCAAAUAAUACUGGUUUUCUUUUCUUUUCUGUGUAUGGAUAUGUGAUCAAUGGAUGUAUGACGCUGCAAGUUAAUAAUUUCGUCAGGCUUUCAGUAAGUACCAACUUUUGCUACUGAAAAUUUAAUAUUUGCCUGUUUACUUUGCAAGAUUAGGGUCGGAGCAUGAAUUUUACGGUGUUAAGUGCAAGUGUUGUUUGAAUCAUUGUGUGUUUUUGGAUUGAUUCUCUCUGUGACAGGUUCCUUCAUAAUGACAAGCUCUGGACAUUGCUAACACAUUAGCCAAUUCCACUUUACAAUGCUUUGUUUUUGUUUAUUUUAACUCCAUAGAGUAAUUUGUGGGGGUCUAAAACUCCUUCUAACAAGGAUAAUAGAGUAAAGAAGUACUAAAAGGUCCUAGUUCUCAGAUUACAUUAAUACAUAAAAACAAAUUUCAAAAACAGCCUUUUUGAUCCACCAUAUGGAGUAUAACGCACUCUUUUGCUAUUGAAAGUUUCGAUAGCUAAUCUCAUGACCUUCUUAAUCAUUAGGUAGGGAGUUUUAGCACCUGCAAGACCAUAUAUGCUUUUAUUAAAUUUGGUAGGUUUACUGCCAUAACUUGAACUCUUUCAUAUUUAUGUGAAAUUAUGUAAUUUUGCUUUAUGUUUUGGUGCUUCUUUUUCUGAGUUUGAUUUCCUUUUACUUUUUAUGUUUAAAAGAUACAUUCAUACAGAGAACCAAGAAAUUGUACCAGGACACUUGUACUCAGCGGACUAUUUCAAAGUUGAAUAAUGAACUCUAUGAAGUCCACCAAAUAAUGACUUGCAAUGUUCAGGAAGUUCUUGGCGUCGGUGAAAAGUUGGACUAGGUCAACCAAAUGUCUAAUCGUUUAACAUCAAAGUCUCGUGCAUAUGCAGAUAAGGCGAGAGACUUGAAUCAACAGGCUCUGAUCCGUAAGUGGGCUCCUGUUGCCAUGCUCUGCAGGUGCUAAAGCUCUCUACAAAAUCUCUAAAAGAGGACUUUCAUUUCUAGUGACUAGUUCCAAGUGCAAGGGAAGAAGAGAUUCCAAGAUUUAGGGAAGUGAUCAGGAGGAUGCCAAAAACAAAAUUGAGGAGGAUCCCUAAACUCUUUUGAAUUAGUAUAUAGUAUUGAUAUAACUACUUUGAAUUAGUACUUAUUGUAAGGGAAUACUUUGAGUUAUUACUUUUAAUUUUAGUAUAUAUUUCUUUUGUCUA